rnacentral:rRNA from 1 species
GUAGGGAAUAUUGCACAAUGGGGGAAACCCUGAUGCAGCGACGCCGCGUGAAGGAAGAAGUAUCUCGGUAUGUAAACUUCUAUCAGCAGGGAAGACAAUGACGGUACCUGACUAAGAAGCCCCGGCUAACUACGUGCCAGCAGCCGCGGUAAUACGUAGGGGGCAAGCGUUAUCCGGAUUUACUGGGUGUAAAGGGAGCGUAGACGGACAUGCAAGUCUGAAGUGAAAGGCAGGGGCUCAACCCCUGGACUGCUUUGGAAACUGUGUAUCUGGAGUGCCGGAGAGGUAAGCGGAAUUCCUAGUGUAGCGGUGAAAUGCGUAGAUAUUAGGAGGAACACCAGUGGCGAAGGCGGCUUACUGGACGGUAACUGACGUUGAGGCUCGAAAGCGUGGGGAGCAAACAGGA